GGCCGACUGGCGAAAUGGCAUCGCGUCUGACUACGAUUCACGACGAAAUGGUAAUCAGGAGAUUGCAGGUUCGACCCCUGCGUCGGUCA
rnacentral:tRNA from 1 species